rnacentral:lncRNA from 10 species
UUUUUUAGACAAAAAGCCAUUUCACACUUAAUAGACUACAAUAUAGUAUAAAUAUAAGUUUUAUAUGCAUUGGCAAGCCAAAAAUCUUGUGUGACUCACUUAAUUGUGACAUUUCCUUUAUUGUGGUGGUCUGAAACCAAAUCCACUAUAUCUGAGUGUGCAUGUGUUUUUGCUUUAAAUGAAUCCUCUAUGUAAAAGCCAGGACUGUUAAUAGUCUGUGAACAUUAGCCAGUCUUUUUCAGCCACCACAGUGUUUGCCCAAAGGAAUCCUGAAUAAGUGGCUGUCGCAGCCAGGAUGGAGGUUAUGCAUGAGCUAGCAAAUUAAACUCACCUUCGUCAUGGCUGAUUUGACUAUUUUUACUACUGAAUGCCUAACCUUGCAACAGCAGACACUAACACCAAGUCUUUGCUAGGGCACCAUAUGCAGAGGUGACCAAUUGGCCACCUUUAUUCAGUAUGGUUGUUUUGAAUUGUACCCAUCAUGGAAUGAGUUGAUAUUUGUGCUCAAUAGAAUAUGCAUAUUUAUUCUGUAUCUGGAUUUGUCUUCUCUGUUUAGAUUCCUGUGUCAGCGUCACCACCCAUUUGAGGAAUUCCUUUUACAGAAGAAAUCAGGGAUGCACUGGCCUGACCCCAUGAGAUUCAUGGUUGUAUCAUGAAUCUCCUUACUGCAAAGCAACGUGCCUAAUAUUGCAAUUGAAUGUCUUAUUGAAGAUUCAAUGGCUGCAUUGAUCAGGGCAGGGUGCUCGCCUACAAGAGGCAAUGCAUGCCGUGAACCAGUUCUGCUAUCUAUGGCUGAUUCUCCCAGAGGCUGUGGUGCAGUGGUGUGAUCACAGUUCAUUACAACUUCAACCUCCCUGGCCCAAGUGAUCCUUCCUCCUAUCACCCAGGCUGUAGUGCAGUGGUGUGAUCACAGAUCACUGCAGCUUCAACCUCCCUGGCCCAAGUGAUCCUCUCUCUUCAACCUCC